GCAUGCGGCCGAGUGCGGGACUGGGGCUCCUGGCUGUGGGUGUGGUACCGAGGCUUCAGCGGGUGCCGCCCGCCUAGAGGGAGUGGAGCGGUGAGCACGUCAGGGGUGGGGGGCGCAGGUCAAGCUUUCACCAGUUUUUAAUUCUUUGAUGGGGUAAAUUUGAGCAAUUUUCUCGACUUGUCGACAUUCGUUAUUAACUGAGCAGGAAUCAGGAGAGGAACCCGGUCCUCUCCACACAGCCCAGCAGGUACGCCGCCCAUGUGCCUGUGGAGAAGAGAGGUUCCUGUGGGGCAGACAGAGAGCCUACGACUAGAUUUGCAUCUUUACGUCCUGCGCGGAGGCUGCUACACACAUGCAGAAGUCAUGCUGGUGGCCUGGACAGUGAAGGGAGAGAAGUGGAUUUGGGAGACAUUUAGGAGGAACAGUAAGAGGACCUUGUGCAUGAAUAAUUUGUUUCCACACUACAGAAAGAAUCCCAGACUUCUUAGAGAACCCAGUGACUUUUUGCACCUUAAAUCUGUGAAAUCC
rnacentral:lncRNA from 10 species